CGGAAUCCAAUUACGUUUCCCAAGGGAGCGCAAUCCACCCGUCUGGUCGCGAGGAGGGGGCGGGGGUCGAGGAGCAGCGGAGGACGCCCCUCCCCCGCCGCCCGGGCCUCUGGGCCCCCGCAGCCCCGGGCGGGGUAAGCACAGCCCUGGACGGGCACGCGGCACCGCCGCCGGGACUACUUGUCCUUCCGCGCGGGCGCUGCGGUCCGGAUCCGAAGUCGACCCGGCUGAGUGGCAGGAGAUUAGCCAAGGGUUUCCCCCGCCGCGCGCCCCCGGCCAAUCGGCGCCGCGCGGGCGGUGCUCGGGGGCCGCGCACACGCGCAUUCCAGGAUCCACGCCUCACACGAACAUCCUCACCCCCGCGCAAGCUCCCUUUCCCGCCCCGCCCUCCCGGCUCCACGCGCGCGGCUCUUCGGGGCCUUUUCCCAGGUCUGGGCCUGGACCGUGGCUUCUGGCCUCCUCGGUGCUGCUCGCCAAAAUGAAAGUGAAAUGAGGAAGGACGGCCGAGUGGUCUGCAGGAGAAGAGUAAUUAGUGUUAACCAUCUGUGUCAAGGUUCACAUUAAGCCUCACCACCCUCAGGCUCGCUUAAAAGACUGGAGUGAAACUACGGAGACUGUCGUUGAGGAGGAAGAAAGAGGACAGCCCUCCUGAUUCUUUAGAGAUUGGGUGGAGAACUCUUCCUAUAUCAUUGAGUGUUCUCUAGUCAGAGAACCUUAAACUGCUGGAUUUCUCACUUGGUUUUCAGCUGUGGUCGGAACACUAGAUAUAGCCUUUCUCCCUCUGGGGGGAAAGAAAACAACAUUCUCUUCUGCACACGUUGUCAGACUCAUGAGGCCACAACUGACAUACAUGCUGGAAGGAGAAAGUGCUCUGUGGUGCCUUGUUUUCUCUUUUGAAUUACGUCCUCCUGAGACUGUGGCUGACCUUAGGCCCAUGGCGUUCCUGCAUAUGAUUGACGUGCGUGAUUAGCAGGCUAGUGAGAGAACCAGGGAAAUUGCUGUCAAAACAAUUACAUACAGGGACAUCAGAACAAUGGCUUGAGAGCCCCCAGGGACUUAGAGACCAUCCUAGCUCUGCCACGCAUGCCCUCUGGGACCGUGGCCAAGUCACAUCAUCUCUUGUGUCUUCGGUUUCUUCCUGGUGUGAUUAUCUUGGAACAAAGCCUGCUUCCUAGGUGUGAGCCUAUGCAGUUACCCUGGACCCCACACUCGGAAAGGAAAAGCGUCUUUGCAAUUCAGCUUCUCAGGUAAAUGUUUCCAAUGAAGAGAAAAAUGAAACCAAGGCAUAAGGAUGCUCAAGGCUGAGACUGAGGCCACAUCAUAGUCUGGCACUUUGCAAUGAGCAUGUGUCCAGCAUGGAUUUUAGUUGCAGAUGGUGGAAGAAGUUCUUUACCAGGCAUCGUUAGACUUGGGUGUGCCUUCUGGAUCUGCAACUUUUUGGACAUGUGACUUUGAAGGAAUUUAUUUCAUUUCUGUAAGUCUUCGUUUCAUCACCUAUGAAAUGAGAAAUGUUCAGCGAGACCUCUCAGGUGCUUCUACUUCUCACACUCUUUGCUAAACUGGGGGAAAUGCCCUCAAAUCUCAUAAAGCAUAUUAUAUUGAGUGUCUUUAAAAAGAAUGAAUGAAGUCAACCUGUGAACAUUAAAAUACUCAGUAGCACCGAAA